CUCGGUAGUCUUUUUGAGUACCUGUGAGACAUCACCUAAAUCAGGGUGAGUUUCUGCUUUAAUGAGGGAACUCCCAGCAUGUCCCCUUGGCUCGGGGCAGCUGAGGCUGCUUAGGGGCAACCAGCCCAAAGCCAGGCCAUCUGAAGGGGUGCCCUCUGGAGAAGGCGUCAAAAGGCAGUGUGAGGGCGGUGUGCUGCUGUGCUCACAGCUCUGGGAGGCAGGGGCGGGAGAGGGACUAUGAAGGCAGCACAUUUUGCCUCUGCCUGUGAGUUUCUUCCAGAUAUACUGAGGAGGCAAGAAUACCAAGACACUCUAGAAUACUGCAACCACUUCAGAGGGACUGAAUCAAUGCAGUUGGAGACAGCAUAGACUUACUUCACCUUCAUCCUCCCAUCAGAGAAGGAUGCGUCCUUUAUGCCAGGAGGCUGACAGAACUUUCAGAAAUUGCUCAGCUCCCUGGACACGUCUGCUGCCAUGAGAUGUCUCUGCCAAGGAUUUUGAGCCAAGAUAUGAGGGAAAUGGUUUAACCAGAUGUGUGCCCAUGCCUGCGACACUGAACUUUGAGAUGCUGAUAUUUAAAAUGCUUGCCAUCUCCUCUGCCUCCCAGCAGCAAGGCAUUUGUGCUAUAUAUAUUGAAGUACUUCACUUCUCCAUGUGACCAGCUACGUGCGCUGUGAGAAAGUAAAUCCAGACUUCAAAGCAUCUGACAGGAGGCAGGCAGGCGUUGUUUCUUCAUCCGUCCAAGAAAGAAGCUGAAGCACAGAGUGGCAAGGUCUCCCAGAGAAGACUGUGUGCCCUCUACAUGCCCCACUGGUGAGAAGAGGAAGGAAGUUUUAUAAAGACGAAAGUGAGAGCUGAGGAAACGAGGUAGGUGGGAUAUGGAAAACCCCUUCUGUCUCAAGAAUCACCACUGACUGCAGCUUACAGAGAGCUCGGGCCAUUGGUGCAUCCUGAGGAUCUGUCCAGCUCUGUGUUUUUAGAAGUAUCUAAAAAAUACCCAGACAGAAAUACUUGUGAUUCACAGGAUGGGAUAUGUGGAAGAACCAACAGAGGUGCACAGAAAAAAAUGCUGAUUGUUUAGUACCAAAACAGGUAUUUAAAUCGCACUGUUGGGAAGACUGAAUUUCAUGACCAAAUCUAUCCUCCUGACAUACAAGGAAAAGUUCAGUGAGACUAAGAUAUGAAUACAUACAGCUGCCACUGGGUUUCCUCUCAAGAAAGAAGAGAAAAAGCAAAAACAAAUAAACAAACCCAAACUGCCACCUUGAGCCUGAAUUUAGA